UGGGCGAAAGCCUGAUCCAGCCAUGCCGCGUGUGUGAAGAAGGUCUUCGGAUUGUAAAGCACUUUAAGUUGGGAGGAAGGGCAGUAAAUUAAUACUUUGCUGUUUUGACGUUACCGACAGAAUAAGCACCGG
rnacentral:rRNA from 1 species